rnacentral:rRNA from 1 species
ACGGAAGGCAGCAGUGAGGAAUAUUGGACAAUGGAGGCAACUCUGAUCCAGCCAUGCCGCGUGAAGGACUAAGGCCCUACGGGUCGUAAACUUCUUUUGACGCAGGGCAAUAAGGCGUACGUGUACGCCGAUGAGAGUAUGCGUCGAAUAAGCAUCGGCUAACUCCGUGCCAGCAGCCGCGGUAAUACGGAGGAUGCAAGCGUUAUCCGGAUUUAUUGGGUUUAAAGGGUGCGUAGGCGGAUGAUUAAGUCAGUGGUGAAAGGUCCCGGCUCAACCGGGGAGCUGCCAUUGAUACUGGUCGUCUUGAGUGCGGAUGCCGUGGGAGGAAUGUGUGGUGUAGCGGUGAAAUGCAUAGAUAUCACACAGAACACCGAUUGCGAAGGCAUCUCACGAGUCCGUUAUUGACGCUGAGGCACGAAAGCGUGGGGAUCAAACAGGAUUAGAUACCCUGGUA